AUUGAACGCUGGCGGCAGGCCUAACACAUGCAAGUCGAACGAGUGGCGGACGGGUGAGUAAUGUCUGGGAAACUGCCUGAUGGAGGGGUAUAACUACUGGAAACGGUAGCUAAUACCGCAUACCAUCGGAUGUGCCCAGAUGGGUUUAGCUAGGGGGUGGGGUAAAGGCUCACCUAGGCGACGAUCCCUAGCUGGUCUGAGAGGAUGCCCAGCCAAACUGGGACUUAGACACGGUCCAGAUUCCUACGGGAGGCAGCAGUGGGGAAUAUUGCACAAUGGGCGCAAGCCUGAUGCAGCCAGGCCGCGUGUAUGAAGAAGGCCUUCGGGUUGUAAAGUACUUUCAGCGGGGAGGCGUUACCCGCAGAAGAAGCACCGGCUAACUCCGUGCCAGCAGCCGCGGUAAUAC
rnacentral:rRNA from 1 species